rnacentral:misc_RNA from 1 species
GAAAUGCGAUACGUAAUGUGAAUUGCAGAAUUCAGUGAAUCAUCGAAUCUUUGAACGCACCUUGCGCUCCUUGGUAUUCCUUGGAGCAUGCCUGUUUGAGUAUCAUGAAAUCUUCAAAGUAAAUCUUUUGUUAACUCAAUUGGCUUCUACUUUGGUAUUGGAGGUCUUUGCAGCUUCACACCUGCUCCUCUUUGUUCAUUAGCUGGAUCUCAGUGUUAUGCUUGGUUCCACUCGGCGUGAUAAGUUAUCUAUCGCUGAGGACACUGUAAAAGGUGGCCAAGGUAAAUGCAGAUGAACCGCUUCUAAUAGUCCAUUGACUUGGAAAAUACUUUUAUGAUCUGAUCUCAAAUCAGGUAGGACUACCCGCUGAACUUAAGC